AGAUUGAACGCUGGCGGCAUGCUUUACACAUGCAAGUCGAACGGUAACAGGCCGCAAGGUGCUGACGAGUGGCGAACGGGUGAGUAAUGCAUCGGAACGUGCCCAGUCGUGGGGGGAUAACGCAGCGAAAGCUGUGCUAAUACCGCAUACGAUCUAUGGAUGAAAGCGGGGGACCGAAAGGCCUCGCGCGAUUGGAGCGGCCGAUGUCAGAUUAGCUAGUUGGUGGGGUAAAGGCCCACCAAGGCGACGAUCUGUAGCUGGUCUGAGAGGACGACCAGCCACACUGGAACUGAGACACGGUCCAGACUCCUACGGGAGGCAGCAGUGGGGAAUUUUGGACAAUGGGCGCAAGCCUGAUCCAGCAAUGCCGCGUGCAGGAAGAAGGCCUUCGGUGUAAACUGCUUUGUACGGAACGAAACGGUCUAGGUUAAUACCUACGGUCUAAGUGACGUACCGUAAGAAUAAGCACCGGACCAACUACGUGACCAGCAGCCGA
rnacentral:rRNA from 1 species